UGGGAGCAAAGCUUGCUCGCGAUUACGGUACGUCAGUCAGCAACAAUGUUGACUGGUUUGCCGCUAUCGCGAGCAAGCUUUGCUCCCA
rnacentral:misc_RNA from 1 species